UGGCUCAGAUUGAACGCUGGGCGGCAUGCCCUAACACAUCAAGACGAACGGCAGCACAGCACGGGGCAACCCGUGUGGGUGGCGAGUGGCGGACGGGUGAGUAAUGCAUGGGAAUCUACCCAGUAGCGGGGGACAACCCGGAGAAAUCCGGGCUAAUACCGCAUACGCCCUAAGGGGGAAAGCGGGGGACCGAAAGGCCUCGCACUAUUGGAUGAGCCCAUGUCGGAUUAGCUAGUUGGUAGGGUAACGGCCUACCAAGGCGACAAUCCGUAGCUGGUCUGAGAGGACGAUCAGCCACACCGGAACUGAGACACGGUCCAGACUCCUACGGGAGGCAGCAGUGGGGAAUAUUGGACAAUGGGGGCAACCCUGAUCCAGCAAUGCCGCGUGUGUGAAGAAGGCCUGCGGGUUGUAAAGCACUUUCAGUGGGGACAAAAAGCGCCGUGUUAAUACCGCGGCUUUUGAUUUAACCCAUAGAAGAAGCACCGGCUAACUCUGUGCCAGCAGCCGCGGUAAUACAGAGGGUGCGAGCGUUAAUCGGAAUUACUGGGC
rnacentral:rRNA from 1 species